rnacentral:miRNA from 11 species
AUGUGUAUGUAUGUAUGUAUGUAUGUAUGUGUGUAUAUAUAUAUAUAUACACACACACACACACACACACACACACACACACACACAUAU